UUCUACAGCCAUGACACCCUGUACAAACCCGAUCCCAUCUGAUCUUGGAAGUUAAGCAGAGUCGGGCCCGGUUAGUACCUCAAUGAGAGACCAUCUAGGAAGACCAGGUAGUGUAGGCG
rnacentral:rRNA from 1 species